rfam:Streptomyces violaceusniger Tu 4113, complete genome.
CUUGAGCGAGCCCAGCCACAGAGGCCGGUCUCCGGUCCGCUCCUGCCCGUAGGUGGCGAGCAGGGCCUGGGCCUC